rnacentral:sRNA from 1 species
GAGGGCGCGGCGGUCGCUGC